rnacentral:tRNA from 1 species
GCGGGUGUAGCUCAGUUGGUUAGAGCACCAGAUUGUGGUUCUGGGGGUCGCCGGUUCGAGACCGGUCACCCGCC